GACGAACGCUGGCGGCGUGCCUAAUACAUGCAAGUAGAACGCUGAAGGAGUAACUUGCUUCUCUGGAUGAUUGGCGGACGGGGGCGUAACGCGUAUGUAACCUGCCUUGUAUCGUGGUAGAACUAUUGGAAGCGAAAGCUAAUACCGCAUAAGAUUAGAUGUUCCAUGACAUUUGCUUAAAAUUUGCACUUGCCUCACUACAAUAUGGACCUGCGUUGUAUUAGCUAGGUGGUGGGGUAACGGCUCACCAAGGCGACGAUACAUAGCCGACCUGAGAGGGGGAUCGGCCAAACUGGGAAUGAGACACGGCCCAGAACUCUAAGGGAGGCAGCAGGAGGGAAUCUUCGGAAAUGGACGGAAGUCUGACCGAGCAACGCCGCGUGAGUGAAGAAGGUUUUCGGAUCGUAAAGCUCUGUUGUAAGAGAAGAAAGAGUGUGAGAGUGGAAAGUUCACACUGUGACGGUAUCUUAACAGAAAGGGACGGCUAACUACGUG
rnacentral:rRNA from 1 species